rnacentral:piRNA from 1 species
UGUAAUCCAUUCAUAAUGCAU